AAGGAAAGCAUUGCGCAUGCGGGAAACCCACGCUGAGGGAAGAAUCAUGGGAAAGAGUAGAGACGGGGUUCCACCGUGUUAGCCAGGAUGGUCUCGAUUUCCUGACCUCGUCAUCCUCCCGCCUUGGCCUCCCAAAGUGCUGGGAUUACAGGCUUGAGCCACCGCGCCCCGCUCUUUCGUGUUCCAAAGGCUUUUUAAAUAAACUUCCACUCCUGUCCUGGAUUCUGCUUUAUGGCCCUCAGUCGAAUUCUUUCUUCUGAGGAGGCAAGGACUGAAGUUGCUUCUGACCAGUACAGGUACGCCGCAGGAGAAAACGAAUACAGCAGGGAUGACUUCCACCAGCUCCACUUUGCAGCUCUGAGGUGUAUUAAAAAUAAACCUAGAGCCCCACCAAAUGAAUCCGCUGGCACGUGGACCUCAGAUGGGGGAAACUGAGGACUGAAUUCUGACCACCCUCCUUUGUUCUAAAUUUCUUCCUGAAGGACCUGGAAGAAGUCAUGCCACGGGCCAGACCUUAACAUUCCUUUCGGCUUACCCCAGGAUUUCAGACAAAGCUUCACUUUCCUAACCAGUCACAAAUCAGAGAAUUUUUGAUUCCACCUAUGACCUGUGAGCUCCUGCUUCAAGAUAUUCCACCUUUUUUAGGCCAAACCAAUGUAUAACCUCCAAGUGUCGAUUUACACUUUCGACUGUAACUUCUGCUUUCCUGAGAUUUACCCCUGCCUUUAAAAACCCUUGCUUGUAAUCCCUCAGGGAGGCCGUGUAUUUAUUAAUCAUGAGCUGCCCAAUUCUCCUUGCUUGGUGCCCUGCAAAUAAACACCCUCUUUUCUCCCACUGCAAAACCUCAGUGUGGAUGUUUGGCUUUACUUCACCCCCAGGAAAGCAGACCCAGGUUUGACUCAGCAACAACAUCUGUUUCUAUUUUUCUCUGUAUAAAUAUUAAAAACCAUAAGUACAUGCUAUCUCCAAUUCCAAUAUAAACCCAUAGGGCUCAUUCUGGCCUUCCCAUUUUCUUAUGUGUAAUUCAUUUCUCUGAAAAUGAGAAUUCGAGUACUCAGAUAUUUACUUACCUACUCAAUCCUAGAAUAGAAAUAAAAUAAUUCAACAUAA
rnacentral:lncRNA from 1 species